GGAGAAGGCAAAGCAAGAUGAUGCACUUUCAGAUUUGAGUAACAUCCUGGGUGAUUUGAAGGGCAUGGCUUUUGAUAUGGGAAGUGAAAUUGACAGGUAAGCUGUGAUGUUUUCAUUGAGUUUAGCAAUGAUACAAUUUUCGCAUUAUUUUUGUAAAUUAUUAUAUUUUAAGCUUCUAAACAGAAGUAUUAAAAGUGAUUCUUUGAUUGCAUUAUAUUUUCCAAAUACCUAUGGAAACAAUCCUGUGCUUAAGUGGCAGGGGACCUUUAAGUGCUGUGAUCAUCGUAAACAUCGUAAAUGCAGGCAAAAUAAAGCCCUUGAUCAUCUUGGUGAUGAUGUUGACGAGCUGAACUCUCGAGUGAAAGGAGCCAAUCAGCGUGCCCGCCGUUUGCUUGAGAAGUGAGACACUGAGCAGGCACCACCACCAGAUUACUAAAUUUGAUUUCUGCAUAUUGUUUAGUGGUCAUAAUGGCCUUUUAAGCCCUUCUUGGUGAAUUCAUCAGUUCAUACCUGGAAACCCUUCAUUUGUAUUCAUGCUACUGCAAUUUUUUUCCCCUUACAAGAUACUGUCAUACAAUCUUCUUCUUCCUUUUUUAGUUUUUUUCAUUGAUAAUAUGAUAUCUGUAUAGUUGAUUGUGUAUACUGCACAAGCUUGAGAAUUACUCAAAUGUCCAAUGACAAUGAAAAUUCUUCAAAAUUAUUUCUAUUUGAUGGCUUUAGAGAAUGUUAGAG
rnacentral:misc_RNA from 1 species